CCCUUAGAUGUUCUGGGCAGCACGCGCGCUACAAUGGUCUUCGCAAACGGAUGCAUUCUCGAAGGAGAAUGCCAAUCUUGGAAUCUAUGCCUUGGUCGGGACAGUUGCUUGCAAUUUUUCGACUCGAACCAGGAAUUCCUUGUAAUCGUGAUUCAUCACAUCACGAUGAAUACGUCCCUGCCCUUUGUACACACCGCCCGUCGCUCCUACCGAUCGAAGAGUUAGGUGAAUUGUUUUGAUCGAUAAGAUUUGACUAUGGUCAACUCUCGUUGUGAAAUUCUGUGAAUCUGACUGUUUAGAGGAGGAAAAGUCGUAACA
rnacentral:rRNA from 1 species